GAAGUGACGGGCGAUUUGUAUAUAUAUAAAAAUUAAAUUCAAUUUAAUUAAUUCAUUAAAUUUACUAUUAAAUCCUAAUUUUUAAAAAAUUUAAUUUUUUAUUAUUUUAUAAUGUAAUUCAUUUAAACUUUAUUAAAUUGCAUAUUGAUCUGAAAUUUUAUUAUAAAAAAUAUUAAAAUAAAAAUAUUUAUAUUUAAUUUUUUAACGAACAUACACAAAUAAAUUAUAAAGAUAUUUCUUCUCGUGGAUUAUCGAUUAAUAAACAAAUUCCCCUAACUAAUUUUAUAUACUAUCAUAUAAUAAUUUUUCAAUAAUUUAAUCUAUAUUAAUAUAAUUUAAUUUUAUACUAGGGUAUCUAAUCCCUANUUA
rnacentral:rRNA from 1 species